ensembl:lncRNA
CUCAGGGGGAAAUAGACGUAUUUCGAGACCCUGAAGUCCUGCCCUGGACGAAAGUCCGAGGGUUAUUUGAAUUGAACCUUAGGGUAAGCAGACGUGCGUGCCCAGAAAUAGACGUAUUUCUGGAACCCUUGGUUCCACCCUGGACAAAAGUCCAAGGGUUGUUUGUAAUUUUGGUUUGGGGCACCAUUUCUUUGCCGCGGUUUGUCCUGUCUAAUGUCUGUUAAGCCUGGAGGAUUGGAAUGGGCUGGGUGACUCAACAGUUGAGCAACAGGUUUGUUAUCUGCUAUCUGAUCUGUUGUAGCCCACGCCCUAACCGCCUGUUUGUGUGUCAAUUUUACUAUUUCUGUUAAUUUUGUGGGUAUGGAGUUCCUAUGUUGGGGUUUCUGGCGACAUCUGUGAGUAGUAGGCCUACAAGAAUUGUUUGGGGCAGAGGUUUGGGCGGCAGCCUCCCGAAAUCUAUAGGGGAGACUUGGCUUCGAACCAAGUUGAUCUCCAUGGGGCUAGCCAUCUGAAAUUCCGAAUAGGACCCUAGUCUAUGUUAAACAUCUCUUUCUGUCCCUACUGCCCACGCACAUGGCAUGCAUGGGUCAGGGGUCUUUUCUUGAUGCUCUGAGCACGAGGUGCCACCUCAACUGUGAUCGGCAGAUGCACCCGGAGGACAGACUGCUGCGCUGAGGACACCCAGGAGACAGACUGCCAGAUCCUUACAGUGACCCAAAGUUUCCAAAGAAGAUUAUGAGGCACCUCAGUUCCUGCACCUGGACCAGUGAGCGAGAUGCUCAGAUGUGAUUCCUGCCGCCUGCCAGGAACUAGCCGAGACUGUGGACAAAGCUGCUGGACACUGGAAAAUUGAUUGCACCUCCUUUGCCUAGACAAAACAAGGUUUCUGCUUCUGGCAGACAUCUGAGUAUCAGUUGCUGACUACAGGCUGUUCUAAGUAGACUGCGAGCCCUGGACUUGCUGUGGAUGUGAACCAGUCCAGCUGAUGUGGACACCCCCUGUCUCUGCAACAGAGUCUGCCAAAAGCCCCUGAUGGAUUCCCCAUUGCCUAAAUUCCUUUUUUGCUUUUGACUAGCAUUUCAACCUUCUGGGGUCCCUAACUUCGUCCCAAAGUCAGCAGGAAGUAGUUUGGAAAAGAAUUUGCCGCCCAUUUUCCCUGGUUAAAAUGCUAAGUCAGGAGGGACUCCCUUGCAUGGGGAUGCCAAUAUCUCUCACUCCCUGAUGGGGGCGAUAGAGAGACAGCAAUUCCAUGAUUGGAAUUUCCAAAAAAGAAAAUGGGGGAAUGAAGGAACCAGCUUCCCUUUUGGCAGCCAUAACGGCCGAACACGUGCUUCUAUGACCUUGUCCUAGACACUAGAAAAUCAGAUGCCUGCCUUGUGACAAGGAACCAAUCAGAAGUUAGUUAGUCACUAGAAAGUCAGAUUCCUGUCUCGUGACAAGGAACCCAUCAGAAGUUAGUUAGUCACUAGAAAGUCAGAUGCCUGCCUCGUGACAAGGAACCAAUCAGAAGUUAGCUAGUGGCGCUAUGCUUUACAACCCUGGGUGUGCUUUACGGACAAGCACACAGCAAUGACGCACAAAGCAUAGCAACCACCCUGGGAGGGUCUAUGGGCCAUAACAACCAGUUGACCAAUCAACACAGGGUAAGCCCUCCAAGCCUGGAAGCACACCAAUCGUGAGCCUGUGCAUACCCCUAGACACUCCCCUUACGCUGCCCUACAAGAUCUGUACGCAGCGGGUUCGAGCUGUCUUUUCUAGCCAUCCGCAAUGGCGAGUGGGUGAAAGACCCGAGCUAACAUGGGGUUAGCUCGUUAAGUUACAAUAAAGCCUUGUACAGUUUGCAUCAAGCUCUCGAAUCCGCCUGGUGAUUGGGGUGACCGCAGUCGUGGCCUGGGACCCCAGAUACCUGAGUUUUCUGGGGGUCUAACACAAAUGUAUGUGAUUCUUAAGGCUAUUAGUCCCUUAUGAGUAUGCAGUUUUGUAAUAAAAGGCCUUAGAGCCAAAGGAUCCCAGUUCAAUUCCCAGCACCCACUUGGCAACUCACAAUCAUUUGUAACUCCACUCUCAGUGAGUCUAUCACCAUCUUCUGGCCUCUGUAGGUACCAGGCAUGCAUGUGUUACACAAGCAUACAUGCAAGCAAACACCCAUACACAUAGAAUAAAAAGAUCUCUGAUUUAUUUUGUGUACUAAAAUAUUACUAAGAAGAAAAAUAGUUAUGCAUGCCACAGGAAAAAUAUGAAAGGGAGUAGGUUUACUCAGAAAUUUGUUUUAUAUGGCAUAAACUCACAAUUUUAGAAGUGAAAUAUUCCAUUUUAGAAUAAUUAUCAAACAAAAUCUGAAACAUUUGAAUAUUUAUUUUUAUUUAUAUGUGUGUAUGUGUGGGCGUACCUGUGGAGUCCAGAAGAGGGCACUGGAUCCCCUGGAGUUGCCAUUGCAGGCAGUUAUGAAUGAUCUGUUGUGGGUGCUGGGAAACAAGCAGGGCCUCUGCUAGAGGAAGUUCUCUUAACCUUUGAGCUCUCUCUCUAACCCCAAAAUGUGAAACUGUUUAAAAGCACCUAGAACAUAUAUUCAUGAUUUGGGGGGUGGGGUUCGAGACAGGGUUUCUCUGUAUAGACCUAGCUGUCCUGGAAUUAGGUCUUUAGAGUAGGCUGGCCUUGAACUCACAGAGAUUCACCUGUCUCUAACUCCAGAGUGCUGGGAUUAAAGGUGUGCACCACCACACCAUGGCAUAUAUUCAUGAUUUUAAAAACAAUUACAGAUCUAGAUCUUUCAAAUGGAAUUAAAAAAAUCCAAAUUACUUUAAGUGUAACAGUUUUCUCUAAAAAGUCUAGUGAGCAACUGCCUUGGACCUCUGCUCUAUAUUCUGCUAUCUCAUAUAGCCUUACCAACAGCCCAAUGAAGUGUGUAUCAGAACACAGUGUGACCUGAGGUCCGUAUUCAAAAACAUUUGAUUUCAAAGUCUGUGUCUAUCCACUGCUCCCUAGAGUAUCAUCAACCACCAACUGUCUUUAAUAUGCUAUUUUAAUAAGACAAAUGAAAAAUAAGCAUGGAAGUUAAUGAUUGUUUGUAUGGUUGCAGAUUUGAUACAGAUUGUGUGUGUGUGUGUGUGUGUGUGUGUG